UGUGUGUGUGUGUGUGUGUGUGUGUGUGUGUGAGAUUUGUGUCACACGCUGCUGUUAUCACCAUCAGCAGCCAGUAGGGGGGAGAUUCAGCAGCCACUUCUACAGCUAAAUGAAAACAAUGUGGACAUACAUCAUAAUCCAACUACUGUGGCCGCAGGUGGAGCCUUUUAAAAACCGUCCCCGCCGCUGCAGCAGUGACAACAUCUGGAUGAGCAACGUAAAUCCUGGAUCUGUUGUGAUAAUUGAAGUGAUCCUCUGACUUUUCAUCUAGCGACAACAAUCUAACUUCCAAUACGUCCAACAAAAAUGUGGCGUCGCAUGAUGAAACGAUACUUAUCAUGCAAAAUCAGCUACACUUUGUAACGGCUCUUAGCAUGCUAAUAUGCUAAGUUAAGAAGCUGUAAUAAACCCUGCCGGCCAGUGGCUCGAUAGAUACAGCGAAUACAACUCCAUGAAAUCCACUCAGCACCUCUGGACCAUGUUACGAACCCGGAGAAAACAACAGUAGUUUCCCAGGAACAAAAGUACUGUACUCAGAAACAAUUGUUUCCAUGGAGAUGAGCCACUCACGGAGGAAGCGAGUUAACGCCAGUGGUCCCGUGAGUAAACUGUGAACACGGCAUUAUCGGGAACAUGACAGUGCAGCCGCUCGAAGCGGAUCAUCCACGGUCAACAACACCAGAUCUUAAUUAGCCAGAGUCGACCUGUGUUUUAUUUCUGUUGCAUAAGAGGAACUCGAGAGUUUGACAGCAGGUCAACUUAAGUUAUAAAAAUGUUGCCGUGCGGGAAUAUCGACAGGAAAGUAACACACAAUAGUUUUUCGAGUGUAUGAAUUUAUUCAUGAGGCUUUCUUACUUGCUCUGCCACGAAGGUGGAGGGGGGACAAUUACAGAAGCUGAUGGGUUCUAUAACUACAUUGUGUUGACAUGCAUCCCUAUCACACGCAUUUUCAGGUAAAAUAGAAUAGACAAUACAGUCUCCAGUCAGUUUGUAUUAUUCAUCAGAAUAAAAACUCACUUCGCUGAGUGAAGGUGAACCCUACGGUCGGACUAUUUCUGCCCCGCGUUGAGCUCCUUCACGUAUCUGUGACCUUGCUUGUCUGCGGCUCCUAAUGAAAACAUUUUCACGCGGGUGUCAGCGAGACCUUCACAGCGCCCCUUUGUCAACUCCAGACGUUUGUAUUUUCUGUGCUGGAUACCUGGUAACUACUGCAAUUAUGUAACUGCAGCUAUUGUGUGAAAAGGGUGAGAGAAUAACCCCUGAAUCCUUUCUCAAACUGGGUUUUGAUAUGUUGUAAAAAUCUAGACUUCACCAGUAAAAGAAAUGUCUCCCUUUGUGUCACAGUGCAAUAUGGAAAUGGUUGUUGUUUGAACAGAAAGAUAUUUCUUUGAUUUAGUCCGAGAGGAGAUCAUGAGCAUUGGUGGGGUUGAAUAAAACCAAUAUCAUUUACAGAAAGAACAGCUGGUACACGUGUGCUGUGCAUCACAAACUGCGACGGAAUGUAACAAAACC
ensembl:lncRNA